GACGAACGCUGGCGGCGUGCUUAACACAUGCAAGUCGAACGGAGAAUUUUAUUUCGGUGAAAUUCUUAGUGGCGAACGGGUGAGUAACGCGUAGACAACCUACCUCUCAGAUGGGGACAACAUCGCGAAAGCGGUGCUAAUACCGAAUGAUGUAACUUUUCUGCAUGGAAGAGUUACCUAAGGCGGCCUCUAUUUAUAAGCUGUCACUGAGAGAUGGGUCUGCGUCUGAUUAGCUAGUUGGCGGGGUAAUGGCCCACCAAGGCGACGAUCAGUAGCCGGUCUGAGAGGAUGAACGGCCACAUUGGGACUGAGACACGGCCCAAACUCCUACGGGAGGCAGCAGUGGGGAAUCUUCCGCAAUGGACGAAAGUCUGACGGAGCAACGCCGCGUGAGUGAAGGAGGUUUUCGGAUCGUAAAGCUCUGUUGUUUGAGACGAACGUGCAAUUUUUGAAUAAGGAAUUGUAAUGACGGUAUUAAACGAGAAAGCCACGGCUAACUACGUGCCAGCCGCCGCAGUAA
rnacentral:rRNA from 1 species